rnacentral:rRNA from 1 species
UACGGGGGGAGCAAGCGUUGUUCGGAUUUACUGGGCGUAAAGGGCGCGUAGGCGGCCACGACAAGUCAGUUGUGAAAUCUCUGGGCUUAACUCAGAACGGUCAACUGAUACUGUCGGGCUAGAGUGCAGAAGGGGCAACUGGAAUUCUCGGUGUAGCGGUGAAAUGCGUAGAUAUCGAGAGGAACACCUGCGGCGAAGGCGGGUUGCUGGGCUGACACUGACGCUGAGGCGCGAAAGCUAGGGGAGGGAACGGG